rnacentral:lncRNA from 1 species
AAAGAAAUUUGAAGAUGCUUUACUGCUGGCUUGAAGAUGGACAAAGGGAGCAAUGAGCCAAAGGACAAGCAAGGCCUGUAGAAGCUAAAAUAGGAUGCAAACAAUAAACCUCAGAACAUCUCAAACCCAAGGAGUCUGGCAAACAGAGGGGCACCUGAAAGUGUUAGACCAGAAGAUACCACUGAGGAAGGAAUGUUUAAAGUGGAAUGAUACAUUUCCAACAGAACAUAAACAACAAAAUACUUAAUAUGCAGUCCAGACUGAAAUGUGUAAUGAAAAUAGUUGGAUAUUAAAGAAUUCAAGAGUGAGAGGCAUCAGCAAGGAGGACCUCCUCCUUAUUAUUGAGAUUUUCCUGACAUCAAUGUAUCCUUUUGAGUAUAUUAUCGUAUCUCUUAACAUUUCUGUUUCAUCCUUGACC